rnacentral:rRNA from 1 species
AACACGUGGAUAAUCUGCCCUAAGGUGGAGGAUACCCUCGGGAAACUGAGAAUAAUACUCCAUAAGUCUAGGAUGCUGGGAUGCACUUAGGCUGAAAACUCCGGUGCCUUAGGAUGAGUCUGCGGACUAUCAGGUUGUAGUCAGGGUAAUGACCUGACUAGCCUACGACGGAUACGGGUUGUGGGAGCAAUAACCCGGAGAUGAUAUCUGAGACACGAUAUCAGGCCCUACGGGGCGCAGCAGGCGCGAAAACUUCACACUGCGCGAAAGCGCGAUGAGGGAAUCCCAAGUGCUUGCACGUAAGUGUAAGCUGUUUUUAUGUCUAAAACGCAUAUAGAGUAAGGGCUGGGUAAGACGGGUGCCAACCGCCGCGGUAAUACCUGCAGCUCAAGUGGUGGCCGCUAUUAUUGGGCCUAAAACGUCCGUAGCCGGUUUAGUAAAUGCCUGGGUAAAUCGUAUAGCUUAACUAUACGAAUCCCGGGUAGACUGCU